rnacentral:tRNA from 3 species
GCGCCAGUAGCUCAGCUGGUAGAGCAGCUGACUCUUAAUCAGCGGGUCGCGGGUUCGAAGCCUGCCUGGCGCACCA